rnacentral:rRNA from 1 species
AGAAAAUUCGAUUCCCUUAGUAGCGGCGAGCGAAACGGGAAGAGCCCAAACCAACAAGCUUGCUUGUUGGGGUUGUAGGACACUCUAUACGGAGUUACAAAGGACGACAUUAGACGAAUCAUCUGGAAAGAUGAAUCAAAGAAGGUAAUAAUCCUGUAGUCGAAAAUGUUGUCUCUCUUGAGUGGAUCCUGAGUACGACGGAGCACGUGAAAUUCCGUCGGAAUCUGGGAGGACCAUCUCCUAAGGCUAAAUACUCUCUAGUGACCGAUAGUGAACCAGUACCGUGAGGGAAAGGUGAAAAGCACCCCGGAAGGGGAGUGAAAUAGAACCUGAAACCGUGUGCUUACAAGUAGUCAGAGCCCGUUAAUGGGUGAUGGCGUGCCUUUUGUAGAAUGAACCGGCGAGUUACGAUUUGAUGCAAGGUUAAGCAGUAAAUGUGGAGCCGUAGCGAAAGCGAGUCUGAAUAGGGCGUUUAGUAUUUGGUCGUAGACCCGAAACCAGGUGAUCUACCCUUGGUCAGGUUGAAGUUCAGGUAACACUGAAUGGAGGACCGAACCGACUUACGUUGAAAAGUGAGCGGAUGAACUGAGGGUAGCGGAGAAAUUCCAAUCGAACCUGGAGAUAGCUGGUUCUCUCCGAAAUAGCUUUAGGGCUAGCCUCAAGUGAUGAUUAUUGGAGGUAGAGCACUGUUUGGACGAGGGGCCCCUCUCGGGUUACCGAAUUCAGACAAACUCCGAAUGCCAAUUAAUUUAACUUGGGAGUCAGAACAUGGGUGAUAAGGUCCGUGUUCGAAAGGGAAACAGCCCAGACCACCAGCUAAGGUCCCAAAAUAUAUGUUAAGUGGAAAAGGAUGUGGCGUUGCCCAGACAACUAGGAUGUUGGCUUAGAAGCAGCCAUCAUUUAAAGAGUGCGUAAUAGCUCACUAGUCGAGUGACACUGCGCCGA